ACUUUUAAAUGGGUGGUCCGAUAGCGGCCCGAUAACGGGUGGAACAAUAUGUCCAACGACAACAGAAAUCGCUAGGAUGGGCUCUAGUCAUGGCUCUGAUACCAUGUUAGAAGUGGACUUUAAGCCUAACUCAACCCCACAAAACCGGCUUGUAGGGUGAGGUUUGCACCCACUUAUAUACACUUAAAUGGCCUCAUCUCUAGUCGAUGUGGGACUUCCAACA
rnacentral:lncRNA from 1 species